ACGGGAGAUUUAAAGGGCGUAUGGUGGAUGCCUUGGUUCAAUGUGGCGAUGAAGGACGUGGUGUAACUGCGAUAAGCUUCGGGGAGGUGUUAAGCAACCUUUGAUCCGGAGAUUUCCGAAUGGGGAAACCCUAUCGAGUAACCCUCGAUAAUCUCAUAGCAAUAUGAGGAGCAUACCUGGGGAAGUGAAACAUCUCAGUACCCAGUGGAAAAGAAAACAAUUGUCAUUCCCUUAGUAGCGGCGAGCGAAACGGGAGAAGCCCAAACCGUGCGCAUCACAUUGGAUGUGAUGGGUAAGCACAAAGCUUAAAGUACAAAGCUCAAAAAAGUUUUUAAGAAUUAAAAUCUUAGAAUUUUUUUGGAUUUUGAACUUUGGAUUUUGGAUUUACGCAUCGCGUACAGCGUGAUGCGUGCGGGGUUGUAGGGCGGUAACGCCUGUCUUCGGAUAAGGAGAAAGUUACAAAAUGUGUUCUUAGCAGAAUGCGCUGGAAAGCGCGACCCUAGAGGGUAAUAGUCCUGUAUGCGAAAAGAACACAUCUUUCUAGUUACCGUUCCUGAGUACCUCAGGACACGAAUAGCCUGAGGGAAUCCGCCGGAACUAACCGGCAAGGCUACAUACACAUUGAGACCGAUAGUGAACUAGUACCGCGAGGGAAAGGUGAAAAGAACCCCGGAGAGGGGAGUGAAAUAGAUCUGAAACCAUAUGCCUACAAGGAGUCAGCGCGGUCGCAAGACCGUCAUGGCGUGCCUAUUGAAGAAUGAGCCAACGAGUUUAUGCACACGGCGUAAGAUAAGUCCUUUGUCGGAUGAAUCUGUAGGGAAACCGAGUGUGAAUAGCGCGAACAUAGUAGAAGUUAGAAGUCAGGCGAAAAGGUACUUCGGUAUCUUCGAGUCUGGCCUCCAACUUCUACUUUUAGUCGUCUGCAUAAGACCCGAAGCUAGGUGAGCUACCCAUGAGCAGGGUGAACUCUGUCGAAAGAUGGAGGGAGGCCCGAACCGGUUGAUGGUGCAAAAUCUUCGGAUGACUUGUGGGUUGGAGUGAAAAGCUUAUCGAACCUAGUAAUAGCUGGUUCUCUCCGAAACAGCUUUUGGGCUGGCGUCUAACGUACCUCUUGGGGGUAGAGCACUGGAUGGUCUGGAUAGGGAGAAAUCUCGCUGGACCAAUCAAACUCCGAAUACCAAGAGUAAAGUGUUAGGCAGUUAGACCGUGGGGGCUAAGCUCCACUGGUCAAAAGGGAAACAGCCCUUGAUCUCAAGUUAAGGUCCCAAAAUCAAUGCUAAGUGCACAGUCGAGGAGGUGAAGUUUCUUAAACACUGAGGAAGUUGGCUUAGAAGCAGCCAUCUUUUAAAGAAAGCGUAACAGCUCACUCAUUUAGAGACUUCGCGCCACAGACAAUCGGGGCUAAGCAUUGUACCGAAACUGAGGAUUGUAUGUGCAUUCGUGCAUGUGCAGUGGUAGGAGAGCAUUUGGAUCUGCGAUGAAGCCGAAGGCGUGAGCCACGGUGGAGCGUUCCGAAGAGCGAAUGUUGGUACAAGUAACCGCAAUGCGGGUGAAAUACCCGCACGCCGAAAGAACAAGGUUUCCUUCGCGAUGGUAAUCAGCGAAGGGUUAGUCGGGCCUAAGUGGAUGGAGAAAUCCGAACAUGAUGGACACAUGGUUAAUAUUCCAUGACCUGGGUGUAUUUCGAUGGAGAGACGGAGUGCUGUAUAUAUCGCACAUUAUUGGAUUUGUGUCGGGGACACGAGGGCGCUUGUUAGGUAAAUCCGGCAGGCACUAUCCCGAGUGUUUUCGAGAACUCAACUUUCGGGUUGGGGAAUGGUAUAGAGCGCGCUUCCAAGAAAAUCUUCUAAGAAUAAAUACACACAGACCGUACCGCAAACCGACUCCGGUGUUCAGCUCGAGUAGAGUAAGGCGAACGAGUGAGAGGUCCUCAAGGAACUCGGCAAAAAAGCGACCGUAAGUUAGCAAUAAGGUCUGCCCACGUAGCAGUACGUGGGCCGCAGCGAAAGUCUCCCUGGCGACUGUUUAUCAAAAACACAGCUCCCUGCGAACUCGCAAGAGGAUGUAUAGGGGGUGACACCUGACCAAUGCCAGAAGGUCAAGUACGGGGGGUGUGUGCCGCAAGGUAUAUGCUGAACUGUAUAAGCCCUGGUGAAUGUCGGCCGUAACUAUAACGGUCCUAAGGUAGCGCAAUUCCUUGUCAGGUAAGUUCUGACGCGCACGAAUGGUGUAACGACUGGGGAACUGUCUCGAGGACUCGCUCGGUGAAAAUACAAUGGGGGUGAAGAUGCCCUCUACCUGCAGCUAGACGAAAAGACCCCAGAAGCUUUACUACAGCUUGAUAUUGGGCGUACGAGUUAAAUGCGUAGCAUAGGUGGGAGAGGUUGAAGGCAGGGUUUUGGCUCUGCUGGACUCGAAAUAUGAAAUACCACUCUUUUGAAUUGUACGUUCUAACCCUGACGGCAAAAACGGUAGGGAACAGUAUCUGGCAGGUAGUUUGUUUGGGGCGAAUCCCUCCUAAAAAGUAACGGAGGGGUCUAUAAAGGUCCUCUAGGCGCGAAUGGAAACCGUGCCGAUAGUGUAAUGGCAAAAGAGGGCUUAACUGCAAGACGGACAUGUCGAGCAGGUACGAAAGUAGAGCAUAGUGAUCCGACCUUUCGCUUUAGAUGCGGGGGGAGCUCAACGGAUAAAAGCUACUCUGGGGAUAACAGGCUGGUACCACCCGAGCGUCCAUAGCGACGGUGGUGUUCGGCACCUCGAUGUCGGCUCACCUUAUCCCGGGGCUGGAGAAGGUCCCAAGGGUAUGGCUGUUCGCCAUUUAAAAAGGUACGCGAGCUGGGUUCAGACCGUUCUGGAACUGAAAUCAAAAGCUCAAAGCACAAAGCUCAAAAAAGUUUUUUAAGAUUUAAACCUUAGAAUUUUUUUGGAUUUUGAACUUUGGAUUUUGUGAUUGGUUUCAAAACAGUCUGAAUCCCUUCGAAGUAAUGUUGUCUAAUAAAACUUCCGAUUUUAAAAUGAAAUCGGUUGCCCAAAAAAUCUUUUCGUCUUUUAAGAUGAAAACUAAAAGGAACCAAUCAUAUCACGGCGGUCAUACAUAGUAAUGUGUAUGAAGUAAGUUGACUUAUAUCGGGAAAACCCUUUAUGGGUAAUUCCGAGGGAAUGAUUGUGAGUUCUAUUGAGGACAUUUCUGUCCAGAAAGGAGGUUCUUUCAUGCCGGGAUUUCUUCCUGCGUGCAGUCGUCGAGACUUCUUCGUUCACCCUACCAAGGAAGAAAUGAGGAACGUCGAUCGCGACAUCAAGAUCGCGCUCAGCGUCUUGGUCUUUUUCGCCAGCUACAUGCUGACGAGCUGGAUCAUCUGACUCGAUCAGAAAGUUCCGGGCUGACCCUGCGUCGGCCCCUCAAUAGAAUUCACAAUUACCCGUAGAGACUACAUGUCAACAUGCCUUCUGCGAUGCAGAAGAAAAUCCAAAGCACAAAGCACAAAAUCCAAAAUUUUGAGCUUUGAAAUUUGAACUUUGGGUUUACUCGCAAAGCGAGGUAUAAGGUAUAGUCCAAUGCAACGAGCAAUCGUUGGAAACAUGCGUGAGACAGGUUGGUCUCCUAUCUGCUGCAGGCGCUGAUUUUUGAGAAGAUUCGUUCCUAGUACGAGAGGACCGGAAUGAACUGACCUCUGGUGUGGCAGCUGUACCGCCAGGUGCACCGCUGCGUAGCUAUGUCGGGAAUGGAUAACCUCUGAAAGCAUCUAAGAGGGAAGCCAACUUCAAGAUUAGAAAUCAUUAAGACCCGUGAGAGAUGAUCACGUUGAUAGGCAUUAGGUGGACGCACAGUAAUGUGUGGAGCCGAGAUGUACUAAUUCGUCGACAUCUCCUGUUA
rnacentral:rRNA from 1 species